CAUUACAGACAUGGAAAUUGAAACCACAAUGAGAUACCAUCGUACGCCAGUCAGAAUCCUAUUAUUAAAGUCAAGAAACAACAGAUGCUGGCGAGGCUGCAGAAAAAUAGAGGCAAUGGGUCAGAAGUUCAGGCACAGCUUAGGUGUGUCCUCUCAAAGCUGCAAUCAAGUUGUUGACCUGGCAGCCUUCCUUUCUGGAGCUCAAAUUAUCUUCCAAGCUCAUGUGAUUGUUGUUGGCAGAGCUCAGUUCCUUGCAUUUGUAGGACUGAGGUUCCCCUUUUCUUCCUGAUUGUCAGAUGGGGGCUACUUGCAGUUCCUUGAAGCUGCUGGCAGUUCCUUGCUAUGUGGUCCUCUCCCAGACUCUUUCACAACAUAGCAGCUUACUUCUUCAAGGCCAAGAGGAGAAGCUUUCCUAUUUCAGGAAGGUUCCUGGUCCAAGUCCACACUCCCUCCUACAAGAUAAUUUUGAUUAACUCAAAUUCCACUAAUAUGGGACCUCAUUUAUAUCCAUAAAAUAAUAUUUUCAGCUGGAGAAAUGACUGAGGAUAGAGACUAAUGGUAUAUUCCCACCAAAGCUUGAUAAACUUAAAAUAUCUGCCAAGAAAUCUAUGUCUCAGAAGAAUAUGUGUCUGGCUCAUGGCAUGUAGAGAUGGAGGCAGGACAAUAUGGUCUGGAGGCAGGGAACCUAAGGACUUCCUAGAACUAAAUCAAACUGAAAAACCCCAACUUUCUAAGCCCAAGUAAAUGACAUUGUAACUUCACUUCAGCCUCUUCAUUUGCAAAGGGUGUACACCAAGUAAAUAACUUUGUAACUUCACUUCAGCCUCUUCAUUUACAUGGGGUGUACACCAAGUAACCAAUGGAAUACCUCUAGAGGGUAUUUAAAUCCCUGAAAAUUCUGUAACCAGCACUCUUGAGCUGCUUACUGGAGCCUGCUCCCACUCUGUGGAGUGUACUCGUUUCAAUAAAUCUGUGCUUUUCUUUCCUUGCUUUAUUUGUGCAUUUUGUCCCAUUCUUUGUUCAAGAUGCUGAGAACUUUGACACCCUCUACUGGUAACAGAAAUGACUGGGUCAAAUAGACAAAAAACAAAGUUUUGAACAAGCUGUAUGUACUCUACAUCUGAGCAGAAAAUUUUAAUACAGCUGCAUAGUUUGCCUCUGUCACCCUUGAGUUUCUAAACUCUGCCAUAUGAAAAGCAUGCCACAAAUAGUAGCUACUUUUCUAGCCUGGGUCACAGAAAGGAGAUUCCUGGAAUGAAGUGAAACUGAGCUGAGCCUAAGUGAACCCAGGAGAACAUAGCAGGCCACGGUUCUCAUGUAAUGGAAGCAAGGAACAAAAUACAUUUUGUUGUGAACACCGAGAUAUUGGGGUUGUUACGAUAGCAAAAACAAAUCUGAGAAAUAAUAAACAUACAGAAUGAAUUAUUGAAACUGACCCAAUAGUCUCAUCAAUAGAUAGGUUUUGUUUGCUUUUUUGUUUUUGAUAAACAUAGAAAUUGACCCAUCUGGUCUUAAGGCUUGAAACUUAUAUUUAAUUUAUCUGAGUUCCUUCCUCAGGAAAUGACCUUCAGGCUUCUAAAAAAAGAAAGUAUCAAAGAACUGAAACUCACCAGAUCACCAGUCCAGGCAAUGAGAUGCCAGACCCCUCAUUCACCGUGAUUGCUUCCUUACCCCUCCUCCUACUUGUUUUCUUACACAUUAUUACAUUUCUUCCCUGCUAUCUAAACCCCUAAUUUUAGUGGGUCAGGGAGAUGGAUUUAAGACUGAUCUCGGCUGCAGCACCAAAUUAAAGCCUUCUUCCUUGGCAAUAAUCCUCUCAGUGAUUGGCUUUCUGUGCAGCAGGACCUACACUGGACCUAGACUGAACCCUGGGUAUUUCAGUAACAUCGUUAUUGUGGAAUUAUUACCCAAGUCACUACAUAAAACAUUACUAACACUAGAGUCCUCCCUAUGUCCUUCCAAUCCUAUACUUUCCAUCUUUCCCAAAAGUAAGUAUUCUAAAUACUACAAAAUAUUUGGUGACCUGGUUUGAACUUCAUAUAACUGGAAUAAUAGAGUAUAUGCUCCUGAGAGUCAUCUAUGUGACUAUGUAUGGCUUUUUUUUUCACUUUCUGUGGUUUAUUUUAAAUUAUGAAUAUACCAUAGUUUAUUUAACUGUGUUUCUGUUGUUGCACAGUUCCUCUUAAAUAAAAAUUAUCAUUCCUGUCAG
rnacentral:lncRNA from 10 species